AUUGAACGCUGGCGGCAUGCCUUACACAUGCAAGUCGAACGGCAGCACGGGGCAACCUGGUGGCGAGUGGCGAACGGGUGAGUAAUGCAUCGGAACGUACCUUUCAGUGGGGGAUAACGUAGCGAAAGUUACGCUAAUACCGCAUAUUCUGUGAGCAGGAAAGCAGGGGAUCGCAAGACCUUGCGCUGAUUGAGCGGCCGAUGUCAGAUUAGCUAGUUGGUGAGGUAAAGGCUCACCAAGGCGACGAUCUGUAGCGGGUCUGAGAGGAUGAUCCGCCACACUGGAACUGAGACACGGUCCAGACUCCUACGGGAGGCAGCAGUGGGGAAUUUUGGACAAUGGGGGCAACCCUGAUCCAGCCAUGCCGCGUGAGUGAAGAAGGCCUUUGGGUUGUAAAGCUCUUUCGGCCGGGAAGAAAUCGCACGGGCUAAUACCCUGUGUGGAUGACGGUACCGGAAUAAGAAGCACCGGCUAACUACGUGCCAGCCGCCGCCGUAA
rnacentral:rRNA from 1 species